rnacentral:rRNA from 1 species
UACGUAGGGAGCAAGCGUUGUUCGGAUUUACUGGGCGUAAAGGGCGCGUAGGCGGCGUGUCAAGUCGAUUGUGAAAUCUCCGGGCUUAACUCGGAACGGCCAAUCGAUACUGACGUGCUAGAGUGCAGAAAGGGCAAUCGGAAUUCUUGGUGUAGCGGUGAAAUGCGUAGAUAUCAAGAGGAACACCUGAGGCGAAGGCGGGUUGCUAGGCUGACACUGGCGCUGAGUGCGCGAAAGCCAGGGGAGCAAACGGG